GGAUUCAUCUGCAGAUGAAGAGAACGUGUGAACUUCCUUACGGUUUCCCAUCAACCCUUUCCUGGGUUCAUCUCUGCCUCUUCGUCUUAUUCAGGCUGCCAGGCUUUUCUCUUCCAUUCUGGCUGUGUGAGAGACACCCUUCUUCAAGGACAAUCUUCAUCUCUACCUCCUCUGUAAACCCUUCCUACUUCCUACCAACCCUCCCGUCCUCCUCCACAUUUCUGUGUUCACUCACCUCCAGAUCCAUGACUACUGUGGGCGGUCGUUUACACUUUUUAGUGCGUCUUCACAGCUAACUUCAGACUGUUUCAAGCUAACAACAGUGAUGACUUCAGGAAUAAGGUCCUGCACUUCAGAUUUUUAUGUACCCUGACUCAGAUACGUGCUUCUUCUGAACUUGUAACCCGAGGUAUCAGUAAGAGUCCAUGCAGCAAAUAGAUGGCAAAUUCCAAGUGAAGGAAGCCUACAUUUGUUCCUACUGGAAGAUGAAGAGAACUUGAUUCUUUACUGCUGAGCCACCAGAGAGCCGGUAAAAUCACGUUUCACAGAGGGCCUAAGGAGCUCCCCACAGCUCUUCCCUCGUUCCCUCCUCCACAGAGGAAUGCGCUGACUGAAGCCCUCUCACAGAAGCGUCUGUGUUACUUCACAUGAGGUCCUAACAUCUGUGAGAACCUUUCCAGUGAAGAGCUGUCACUUCUCCUCAGUGUUAACCCUCUGCCUGCAUCUUUGAUUCUAAUACCCAACAGAAGUUGCCUUAUAUACCUCCUCUUGAAUUACUAUUAUCAGUUUUUAUUGAUUAAAUUUUACUUCAUUCCUUCGAAAGUAAAAGAAAGUGAAAGUCACAUCCAACUCUCCAUGGAAUUCUCUAGGCUAGAACACUGGAGUGGAUAGCCUUUCCCUUCUCCAGGGGAUCUUCCCAGCCCAGGAAUCAAACCCAGGUCUCCUGUAUUGCAGGCAGAUUCUUUACCAGAUGAGCCACCAGGGAAAUCCAAGAAUACUGGAGUGGGUAGCUUAUCCACUCUCCAGCAGAAAUCCCGACCCAGGAACCGAACCGGAGUCUCCUGCAUUGCAGGCAGAUUCUUUACCAACUGAGCUAUAAGGAAAGCCCAAAGGCAGCUUUUUACCACCUGUCACUCUCCCUACAGCUGUUAUCAUCUUUACUUCUGCUGAAUAUCUGGAAUGAAUGCUAAUUAUCACCAUUUUCUCACCACUCAUUUUUCCUGUUUAUAAAGGUCUUAAUUUUUGCUAUUUAAUGAGUAUCUCCAGUGAUUUUCCAACCACUAAGUUCAGUGGCCCUCGUUUCCCAUUAUUCUGACAUUGAACUUUGCACUUGGUUGAAUCUCUCAAUAACUUAUGUUCAUUUUCCUCUGUGAAAUGUGACUCUUUCUCUUCAGCUUAGAUUUUGUUUUUACUAUUCCUGAACUUUAAUCACUGUCUUAUGCCUCAGAACUCUGCUUUUCCCUGUAUACACUCACCCCUUGGAGAAUUUAGCGAUGGACUUGAUUUUAGACAUUAUACCUUUGCUGAAUUUAAUUCCUAAUAAGUAUUUUCGGUCUUGCCCUCUAACCUGAGCAGAGCAUCUAGAACAAAUAAAUACACAAUAAACAUUCACUAUUUACUGAGUGAACAUAUAGGUAAACCCAGCAUGAACUUAUAUAUAUAUAUUUGUAAGAAUGACAAUUUUUAAUGCUUAAGUUGAGAAAACUUUCAACAGAAGAAUGAUAUUAGAAAUAAAAUGAUUUUCUGCCAACUUUCUCAGAAAA